GCCUCUGUAGCUCAGUCGGUUAGAGAGCUGCACCAGAAUCGCAGGGUCGCAGGUUCAAUUCCUGCCAGGGACC
rnacentral:tRNA from 1 species